rnacentral:rRNA from 1 species
UACGUAGGGUGCGAGCGUUGUCCGGAAUUAUUGGGCGUAAAGAGCUUGUAGGCGGUUUGUCGCGGUUCUGCUGUGAAAAUCAAGGGCUCAACCCUGGACCUGCAGUGGGUACGGGCAGACUAGAGUGCGGUAGGGGAGAUCGGAAUUCCUGGUGGUAGCGGUGAAAUGCGCAGAUAAUCAGGAGGAACACCGGUGGCGAAGGCGGAUCUCUGGGCCGUAACUGACGCGUGAGGACGAAAGCAUGGGGAGCGAACAGG